ACGCUGGCGGCAGGCCUAACACAUGCAAGUCGAGCGGUAGCACAGAGAGCUUGCUCCCGGGUGACGAGCGGCGGACGGGUGAGUAAUGUCUGGGAAACUGCCUGAUGGAGGGGGAUAACUACUGGAAACGGUAGCUAAUACCGCAUAACGUCGCAAGACCAAAGAGGGGGACCUUCGGGCCUCUUGCCAUCAGAUGUGCCCAGAUGGGAUUAGCUAGUAGGUGGGGUAACGGCUCACCUAGGCGACGAUCCCUAGCUGGUCUGAGAGGAUGACCAGCCACACUGGAACUGAGACACGGUCCAGACUCCUACGGGAGGCAGCAGUGGGGAAUAUUGCACAAUGGGCGCAAGCCUGAUGCAGCCAUGCCGCGUGUAUGAAGAAGGCCUUCGGGUUGUAAAGUACUUUCAGCGGGGAGGAAGGUGUUGAGGUUAAUAACCCCAGCAAUUUGACGGUUACCCCGCCAGAAAAAAGCACCGGCUAAACUCCCGUGCCAGCAGGCCCGCGGGUAAAUACGGAGGGUGCAAAGCGGUUAAUCGGGAAUUUACUGGGCGUAAAAGCGCACGGCGGGCGGUCUGGCAAGUCGGAUGUGAAAUCCCCCGGGUUCACCUGGCUGGGGAACUGCAUGCGAAACUGGCAGGCUAGAAUCUUGUAGCGGGGGGGUAGAAAUCCGAGGUGUAGCGGUGGCAAAUGCGUAGAGAUCUGGAGGAAUACCGGUGGCGAAGGCGGCCCCCUGGACAAAGACUGACGCUCAGGUGCGAAAGCGUGGGGAGCAAACAGGAUUAGAUACCCUGGUAGUCCACGCCGUAAACGAUGUCGACUUGGAGGUUGUGCCCUUGAGGCGUGGCUUCCGGAGCUAACGCGUUAAGUCGACCGCCUGGGGAGUACGGCCGCAAGGUUAAAACUCAAAUGAAUUGACGGGGGCCCGCACAAGCGGUGGAGCAUGUGGUUUAAUUCGAUGCAACGCGAAGAACCUUACCUACUCUUGACAUCCAGAGAACUUUCCAGAGAUGGAUUGGUGCCUUCGGGAACUCUGAGACAGGUGCUGCAUGGCUGUCGUCAGCUCGUGUUGUGAAAUGUUGGGUUAAGUCCCGCAACGAGCGCAACCCUUAUCCUUUGUUGCCAGCGGUCCGGCCGGGAACUCAAAGGAGACUGCCAGUGAUAAACUGGAGGAAGGUGGGGAUGACGUCAAGUCAUCAUGGCCCUUACGAGUAGGGCUACACACGUGCUACAAUGGCGCAUACAAAGAGAAGCGACCUCGCGAGAGCAAGCGGACCUCAUAAAGUGCGUCGUAGUCCGGAUUGGAGUCUGCAACUCGACUCCAUGAAGUCGGAAUCGCUAGUAAUCGUAGAUCAGAAUGCUACGGUGAAUACGUUCCCGGGCCUUGUACACACCGCCCGUCACACCAUGGGAGUGGGUUGCAAAAGAAGUAGGUAGCUUAACCUUCGGGAGGGCGCUACC
rnacentral:rRNA from 1 species